GUGUUUUAUAUAUGCUUUAGUUUUAAAAUAUUUUUAUUGCAUAUUUAACUAUAUAUCAUGUAAACAAAUUUCUUUUAAAGAUAUGUAAACUUGAGACUUCAAAAGUGAUUUUCAAAAGUGAACAAAGAAACUGCGAAGUCAAAUAAGCAUGGUUUAUGCAGACAUGUGAUAGAGAUAGCGGAAGAAAAAAUAAUAAUCGUGGGCAGCAAACAUCAUAAGAAUUUUUCAAUGUAGCAAUGCAAAUCAUUUUAUUUGUAACAACGAUCUAAUGUUGCAUAAAACGUUAGGCCGAUAUAUAACAUACGAUAUUGGGUCAAUGUUGAACACAACGUUAAACCAAUUUUGUAUACACAACGUUGGGCCAAUACAUAAUCAAAGAUCAAACCUGCAUUGGGCCAACAUCAACAUGCAUGAAAUGCAUUGGUCCAACUUUGGUCCAAUGUAAGCUUGCUGUCUGGGAUAUACAUAUAUAU